rnacentral:rRNA from 1 species
GAGAUGGAUUCUGAGACACGAAUCCAGGCCCUACGGGGUGCAGCAGGCGCGAAAACUUUACAAUGCUGGAAACAGCGAUAAGGGGACCUCGAGUGCCAGGAUACAAUCCUGGCUGUCGUAAUGCCUAAAAAGCAUUGCAUACAAGGGCCGGGCAAGACCGGUGCCAGCCGCCGCGGUAACACCGGCGGCUCGAGUGGUAACCGCUAUUAUUGGGUCUAAAGGGUCUGUAGCCGGCUGACUAAGUCUCUUGGGAAAUCUGACAGCUUAACUGUCAGGCUUUCAGGAGAUACUGAUCGGCUCGAGACCGGGAGAGGUGAGAGGUACCUCAGGGGUAGGGGUGAAAUCUUGUAAUCCUUGAGGGACCACCAGUGGCGAAGGCGUCUCACCAGAACGGAUCUGACGGCAAGGGACGAAAGCUAGGGGCACGAACCGGAUUAGAUACCCGGGUAGUCCUAGCCGUAAACGAUACUCGCUAGGUGUCGGCCACGGUGCGACCGUGGUCGGUGCCGUAGGGAAGCCGUGAAGCGAGCCACCUGGGAAGUACGGCCGCAAGGCUGAAACUUAA